rnacentral:rRNA from 1 species
UACGUAGGGGGCGAGCGUUGUCCGGAUUUAUUGGGCGUAAAGAGCGUGUAGGCGGUUCGGUAAGUCUGUCGUGAAAUCCUGAGGCUCAACCUCGGGCGUGCGAUGGAUACUGCCGGGCUAGAGGAUGGUAGAGGCGAGUGGAAUUCCUGGUGUAGCGGUGGAAUGCGCAGAUAUCAGGAGGAACACCUAAGGCGAAGGCAGCUCGCUGGAACGGUACUGACGCUGAGACGCGAAAGCGUGGGGAGCGAACAGG